AAAAAAUCUAUAAGAAAAAACGCUAUAUUCCAGAAAUUUUCAGCGAUGUGAGGAUACUCCACAAAACGACUAAGAAGCCCUAUUACAGAAAAUUUCAAUCAAAGCGGCUAUUUCAGAAAUUUUCAGCGAAGCUUUUGAUGAGGAAAACAACAGCGAACAACAAUCACUUAGACUACAAAUCUCUUGGACAUCGAAGCUUUUGUU
rnacentral:misc_RNA from 1 species